GUUUAAUUUCAUUUGAAUGAAAGUUUCAUUUAAAGGGUUAAAAUCCUGAAAAUGAAUGAAUAUUUGGUAGUUAUGAUCAGGACUGAUGUUGGUUACAAAAUCUGUGAAAGUGGAAAAUUAUAUUUAUAUUUAAUAUUAUUAUGGCAGUUUUUUAAUGCUGACAUUUUUGUCCUCUAAGGACCUCUGAAUUUACUUUUUUUAUUAUUAUUGACGCACAGCUCAGACGCUUAAUUUGCUGGUCCAGCUAAUGCGCAUGCGUCCCGAGUUAACUGACAGGCGAUGUCUGUAUUUAAAAGCUGAUUGGCUCGUUUACAAGUAAGGCGGGACUUCCUUUUCUUCAUCCGCCAUAUUGGGUGUUCACAAAUUUAGUUUUCUUGAGCUAAAGAGUCUUUGCUUGUAUUGAACAUACUGGUGACAUGCCAACAUUUGGGGAAGUGUCUGUCAUAUUUGUGCAGUGAGCAACAGGUUCAUGUCCGGAACUAUUCUAAGCGCGGAGUGAGACACACUGGAACAAACCAAAACUCCACACCAGUGAGCUGAAUGAUGGUUAUGACGGGUCGACUCAAUCUGCAGUCCGUCACUGAGCAGAGACUUUCUGGCACAGAAUUGAUUGCAG